CCUUCAAUAUCCCACUGAGAACUCACCCCCAGGAUGGGACUCUGCUCACCCUGUCCUCUACUCAAGCAGAAGCCUCUCAGCGAUCAUAGGGCAAGGCCUGAACACAAGCUUCUGUUUGGUGUAAAGUGGAGGCACAGGCUGCAGGACUGUCUCAGAAGGGAAAUAAUAUUUACCUUCCAAACGGAGAUCUAAAACCCGAACAAAGCCUCAGGAAACAUACUCCACCACCAUCUUACAAGUUUG